UCGUCAUUAGCAAAGCGAUACAACAACAUAACCACCUUUUCUACACCACAUACUGAUUGGAGAGCAAAAUGGAAUGAGCCACGUAGCGCAACUGUUGUAGUGAUUGAUAAAGCUCUCAACGCCUGCGAGAAUUUGUCCACUUAAAAUUAUUCUGACUGACUCACAACAAGGCAACAACAAUAACAACAGGAAUGGCUAAAAUUCAGUUGAGUACUUAAGUAGAAGUGAGAAGAGGUUGGCGAGUGAAGACUGUUGAAUAUGUACAUAAAGGCGCAAACAUUCCUACGCAUGAGCUCAAACAGAUUUUCCAAAAAUAUGUGAUAUAUGGACACGGUUUCUUGCCCAUAUAAACUCAAACAUAUGGAAGCAAAAUAGAUAGAAGCUAUCGGAUACAGUAUUGAUAAGUAUUAAUCAAACUUGAGAGUAAAUAUAUAUUUCGAUGUCACAGUUAAUAUAAUAUUCUGUAGCCAAUUUUAGCUCUUAAAAAAUUUCACUUAAUAAACUUUAAAACCUCUAUUCAGGCUGUCCUCGAGAUAGUAUAUUGACCUGAUAUUUCCGCGCCCAUGAAAUUUGUAUCAAAAUAAAUUGUUUUGAAUGCAGUUCUUUUUAUGUUGUGCCAAAGUUUUCAUAAAAUCGUUUGUGUCUGUUGCAAUUCACGCGCUCAUAUACUGUGCACUUACCUAAAAGAAAUAUUUGAAUACGCAUGUUGGACUACUGAUAAACUUUUAACGCUACACUUGAAAAGGAAAGUACUCCAUCUCAUGUGAUAAUUUCUCGGCAAUGGAUAGUAGUUGAAAAAUAUCUGCAAAUGCAAUUAAAUCACUAACUCAAUUGAUAAAAAUGCUGGGACCAUUAAAACAACUUGGGUUUCUAGUCAUAGAACAUCUUCGUGCUUUGAAAACAUCAAGACGCACAUCACAAAUUAGAAGAGGAAUUGGGCCGAAAGUCGCAAAAUAUGUAUGUAUGUAUGUAUAACUUAAGUUAAGCAAUCGAACUUUUGUAAAAGUCGAAGUUAAAAAAAAGAAGAGUGCUCGGAUUUUCACCUGGCUUAACAAAUAACUUAAAUAAAGGUUAAAAACAAACUUAUAUUU